GAUGAACGCUGGCGGCGUGCCUAAUACAUGCAAGUCGAGCGAACGGACGAGAAGCUUGCUUCUCUGAUGUUAGCGGCGGACGGGUGAGUAACACGUGGAUAACCUACCUAUAAGACUGGGAUAACUUCGGGAAACCGGAGCUAAUACCGGAUAAUAUUUUGAACCGCAUGGUUCAAAAGUGAAAGACGGUCUUGCUGUCACUUAUAGAUGGAUCCGCGCUGCAUUAGCUAGUUGGUAAGGUAACGGCUUACCAAGGCAACGAUGCAUAGCCGACCUGAGAGGGUGAUCGGCCACACUGGAACUGAGACACGGUCCAGACUCCUACGGGAGGCAGCAGUAGGGAAUCUUCCGCAAUGGGCGAAAGCCUGACGGAGCAACGCCGCGUGAGUGAUGAAGGUCUUCGGAUCGUAAAACUCUGUUAUUAGGGAAGAACAUAUGUGUAAGUAACUGUGCACAUCUUGACGGUACCUAAUCAGAAAGCCACGGCUAACUACGUGCCAGCAGCCGCGGUAAUACGUAGGUGGCAAGCGUUAUCCGGAAUUAUUGGGCGUAAAGCGCGCGUAGGCGGUUUUUUAAGUCUGAUGUGAAAGCCCACGGCUCAACCGUGGAGGGUCAUUGGGAACUGGAAAACUUGAGUGCAGAAGAGGAAAGUGGAAUUCCAUGUGUAGCGGUGAAAUGCGCAGAGAUAUGGAGGAACACCAGUGGCGAAGGCGACUUUCUGGUCUGUAACUGACGCUGAUGUGCGAAAGCGUGGGGAUCAAACAGGAUUAGAUACCCUGGUAGUCCACGCCGUAAACGAUGAGUGCUAAGUGUUAGGGGGUUUCCGCCCCUUAGUGCUGCAGCUAACGCAUUAAGCACUCCGCCUGGGGAGUACGACCGCAAGGUUGAAACUCAAAGGAAUUGACGGGGACCCGCACAAGCGGUGGAGCAUGUGGUUUAAUUCGAAGCAACGCGAAGAACCUUACCAAAUCUUGACAUCCUUUGACAACUCUAGAGAUAGAGCCUUCCCCUUCGGGGGACAAAGUGACAGGUGGUGCAUGGUUGUCGUCAGCUCGUGUCGUGAGAUGUUGGGUUAAGUCCCGCAACGAGCGCAACCCUUAAGCUUAGUUGCCAUCAUUAAGUUGGGCACUCUAAGUUGACUGCCGGUGACAAACCGGAGGAAGGUGGGGAUGACGUCAAAUCAUCAUGCCCCUUAUGAUUUGGGCUACACACGUGCUACAAUGGACAAUACAAAGGGCAGCGAAACCGCGAGGUCAAGCAAAUCCCAUAAGGUUGUUCUCAGUUCGGAUUGUAGUCUGCAACUCGACUACAUGAAGCUGGAAUCGCUAGUAAUCGUAGAUCAGCAUGCUACGGUGAAUACGUUCCCGGGUCU
rnacentral:rRNA from 1 species